GACGUAGGGCGCGAGCGUUGUCCGGAUUUAUUGGGCGUAAAGAGCUCGUAGGCGGCUCGUUGCGUCGGCUGUGAAAACCCGCAGCUCAACUGUGGGCUUGCAGCCGAUACGGGCGGGCUGGGAUUCGGUAGGGGAGACUGGAAUUACUGGUGUAGCGGUGAAAUGCGCAGAUAUCAGGAGGAACACCGGUGGCGAAGGCGGGUCUCUGGGCCGAUAUCGACGCUGAGGAGCGAAAGCGUGGGGAGCGAACAGG
rnacentral:rRNA from 1 species